GUAAAAAUAAGUAGACAGACAUUUUGAUUACCCUGACCUGAGCUAAUAUACCCUGAAACCGGCUACUCAGUAGAACUUUCAGUGCGCUUACACUAGAGUGUGCACGAGACGUCCCUGCCUGUACGCGGACGUGCGCAUCGACACAGACAGGCAGGAUGUCUGUUCUGCUCGGUUCUGCUCCUCCGUGACGAUUACGGCGCGCGGUUAAAAAAAUAAUAACAAACUAAUUUGAAAGUGGGGGGGACACGAACGGGAUUUUGAAAAGUGGGGGGGACAUGUCCCCCCUGUCCCCAUAGGAAAUUACGCCCAUGGUUUAUAUAUGACACCUGUGCUGACCAACUAGUGUGUGUGUGUGUGUGUGUGUUAUGUUUUGGCUACAGACUUAUUCUGCUGUUGGUCACGCUUACACUUACAGAUCCAACCCUAUGGGACCUAGAAGAACGUGGCAACAAGUGAAGAACGAAAUAACAAAAAUAUCGUUACAAAGUGGUAGGUCUAAUUUUUUUUUUUUUGGGUUUUGAUGCCCUUGUUGUUUGUUUGUUUAGGGACUGCACAAUAUAAUGACAUUAUCCCUUUUUCUACUCACUUUUAGAGCUGUAUUUAUUUCAGAAUUUUAAAUGUAUAACUAUGACAAUAAACACAAACAGCAGAUGUUUUAUUUUAUUCGUAGUAAUAAGAUACAUCUAAAAUACAAACUGUUCUUGAAAGUGUGUAUAGUGCAACACUUUUUGUUUAUUAUUAUUGUUGUUGUUGUUGUUAUUGUUGUAAUAAAGCACAGUCAAAAUGCAAUCAAACCUUUUUCUUGUACGUUUUACACAAUUUUUAUUUUAUUUAAAAAAAAAAUUACUGUGACAUUUUCCUCAGACCUAUAGCACCCCCUUGUAGUGUGUGUGUGUGUGUGUGUGUUAUUGUUUGGCUACAGACUUAUUCUGCUGUUGGUCACGCUUACACUUACAGAUCCAACCCUAUGGGACCUAGAAGAACGUGGCAACAAGUGAAGACGAAAUACAAAAAUAUCGUUCAAAGUGCUAACAAGAGAAAGGCUGCACUGAAGAAGAUGGGACUAAUCCCAACAAAAGAGGAGUACAUAGAUGAAGAGGAGCUGCCCCCUGAGAACAAUGUGGAGGGUCCUAUCAUAGCGAGCAUAGUUGGUGGCUGCUCCUCUGAUCCAGGAGAAACAGCUGGCUGCAGCAGUUAUGUCAAAGUGACUGAACAUGGACUGGCCCUACUUCAGCCACCUGUAUUAUCAGACGAAGAGCUGGACUCUGAACCUGUGGAAGAUGUAAAGACACUAUACAAGAAGUAUCUCAAAAUAGAGAUCUCAAACAGAAAGCAAGAAAUGGCAUACAGGGCAUUAAAAAUGCGCAAAGUCGAGAAAGAAAUUCAGUUACUGGACAGGAAACUGGAUGUAAGUGUGAUAUUUGAUAAUGGGUUGUCAGAGUAA
rnacentral:lncRNA from 1 species